GAACGAGAGCGACCGGUGCUUGCACUGGUCAAUCUAGUGGCGAACGGGUGAGUAACACGUGGGUAACCUGCCCAUCAGAGGGGGAUAACAUUCGGAAACGGAUGCUAAAACCGCAUAGGUCUUCGAACCGCAUGGUUUGAAGAGGAAAAGAGGCGCAAGCUUCUGCUGAUGGAUGGACCCGCGGUGCAUUAGCUAGUUGGUGAGGUAACGGCUCACCAAGGCCGUGAUGCAUAGCCGACCUGAGAGGGUGAUCGGCCACAUUGGGACUGAGACACGGCCCAAACUCCUACGGGAGGCAGCAGUAGGGAAUCUUCCGCAAUGGACGCAAGUCUGACGGAGCAACGCCGCGUGAGUGAAGAAGGUUUUCGGAUCGUAAAACUCUGUUGUUAGAGAAGAACAAGUGCUAGAGUAACUGUUAGCGCCUUGACGGUAUCUAACCAGAAAGCCACGGCUAACUACGUGCCAGCAGCCGCGGUAAUACGUAGGUGGCAAGCGUUGUCCGGAUUUAUUGGGCGUAAAGCGAGCGCAGGCGGUUCCUUAAGUCUGAUGUGAAAGCCCCCGGCUCAACCGGGGAGGGUCAUUGGAAACUGGGGAACUUGAGUGCAGAAGAGGAGAGUGGAAUUCCAUGUGUAGCGGUGAAAUGCGUAGAUAUAUGGAGGAACACCAGUGGCGAAGGCGACUCUCUGGUCUGUAACUGACGCUGAGGCUCGAAAGCGUGGGUAGCAAACAGG
rnacentral:rRNA from 1 species